UGGAAAUCCGGCGCGGUCGCGCCACUGUGACCAGUGUGUCGAAAGCUCUUCACGCUGGAAGUCAGACCCUGCCGCACAACACUCUUUCGACUGAACGCGUCAUUCCGGAGGAAUACA
rnacentral:sRNA from 2 species